GUUGGAAACAGAUUGCAAGAGAAACACUCAUAGGCUUUGGUGCUGGGAAAUGACUCUGCUCGACCACACCAUUGCCCACUCUGGCAGCAGGACCCCCCAGCCAUCCAUGGGUUUUAACGGUGUUGCUCUGCCAAAACAUGUUCAAGUCCAUAACGACAGCAGUGUGAGCCCUCACUCGAGGCAUUAAAGACUUCUUGGGAAAAUGA